AUACGUAGGUGGCAAGCGUUGUCCGGAAUUACUGGGCGUAAAGGAUGCGUAGGCGGAUAUGUAAGUCAGAUGUGAAAUACCCGGGCUCAACUUGGGUGCUGCAUUUGAAACUGCAUGUCUAGAGUGCGGGAGAGGAAAGUGGAAUUCCUAGUGUAGCGGUGAAAUGCGUAGAGAUUAGGAGGAACACCAGUGGCGAAGGCGACUCUCUGGACCGUAACUGACGCUGAGGCAUGAAAGCGUGGGUAGC
rnacentral:rRNA from 1 species